GGCCCCGUGGUGAAGGAUUCAUGUUGAGUUGCAAGCUCAUUGAUGCGUAUUUAAAGUGCGCCGGGGUCU
rnacentral:tRNA from 1 species